rnacentral:rRNA from 1 species
AUUGAACGCUGGCGGCACGCCUAACACAUGCAAGUCGAGCGGCAGCGCGAUAUGUAGCAAUACAUAUUGGCGGCGAGCGGCGGACGGGUGAGGAACACGUAGGAACCUACCCUCGCGUGGGGGAUAACCAAGGGAAACUUUGGCUAAUACCGCAUGAUUGCGAGAGAGCAAAGCUGCCGCAAGGUGGCGCUCGAGGAGGGGCCUGCGUCCGAUUAGCUAGUUGGUGAGGUAGGAGCUCACCAAGGCGAUGAUCGGUAACUGGUCUGAGAGGACGACCAGUCAAACUGGGACUGAGAAACGGCCCAGACUCCUACGGGAGGCAGCAGUGGGGAAUAUUGGACAAUGGGGGCAACCCUGAUCCAGCGAUGCCGCGUGAGUGAAGAAGGCCUUCGGGUCGUAAAGCUCUUUAGGUUGGGAAGAAGAGUGAUGGAGGAAAUGCUAUCACUUUGACGGUACCGACAGAAUAAGCACCGGCAAACUCUGUGCCAGCAGCCGCCGUAAGAC